AGAGUUUGAUCCUGGCUCAGAACGAACGCUGGCGGCAGGCUUAACACAUGCAAGUCGAGCGCCCCGCAAGGGGAGCGGCAGACGGGAGAGUAACACGUGGGAACGUACCCUUCAGUUCGGAACAACCCAGGGAAACUUGGGCUAAUACCGAAUACGUCCGUAAGGAGAAAGAUUUAUCGCUGAAGGAUCGGCCCGCGUCUGAUUAGCUUGUUGGUGAGGUAACGGCUCACCAAGGCGACGAUCAGUAGCUGGUCUGAGAGGAUGAUCAGCCUCACUGGGACUGAGACACGGCCCAGACUCCUACGGGAGGCAGCAGUGGGGAAUAUUGGACAAUGGGCGCAAGCCUGAUCCAGCCAUGCCGCGUGGGUGAUGAAGGCCCUAGGGUUGUAAAGCCCUUUCGGCGGGGAAGAUAAUGACGGUACCCGCAGAAGAAGCCCCGGCU
rnacentral:rRNA from 1 species